GCCGUGCCCAUAUAUGGCAAGGCGGCGCCGCCGCGCUUCCCGUGCGGCGGGAAGGAUCCGGAAGGCAGGGCGGGACGGACACCGGGACGGACACCGGGACGUGUUGCCCGGCCGCCGGCAGCCUCCCCGCGGCCGGGACACCGCUCCCUGCCUUGCCCCAUCUGGUUCCUCGCAGAUCUUUUGCUGAUAAGGUUGUUCUUUGGAGCUGCAUCCGGCAGCAUUUCCAGGCAGAGGUAGGCUGGUGACCCAGUGAGGUGCUGAAGUGAAACCAACAACACCCAUUCUUAUUUGGAAACAGCGGAUGUUCACAAGGGACCUGGAUAUUAUAUCAACAGGAUAUCAUGGGAAAACAAAAGAAGGCUGUAACUAGCAUGUGGACAAUAUAUCUUUAUUUCCAAUUAAGGAGCUCUUGUUCUGCGGUGUGGUGUCCUGUCCCCUGCCAACCCCUGGCAGCUUUAGUCUGCACAACAGAUUUUCAGCUCUUCUUCACUGAUUAGAUUUGAGCUCUGUUUUUAUACGAAUGUUUUGUAACUUGGUCUGUUGACUAUGGACAACCAGCUGCAACAUUAAAGGAGUAAUUUUAAUUCUGAUUGCAUCGCCUCUUCCACUUGGAUCCUUAUCUAGAC